AAAGGCACAGUAUAUACACGGGAAACAACCCGUGCGCUCCGCACGAGCGAGGGGCUGGGUGGUGGCGGCUUCCUCGCGGGACGGGUCACCAAUGGCUGCGGGUCAAGCCGACCGAGACAGCGGCGCAUCUUUGGGAGAGGGGGAGAGCAAAGAAGAAGGAGAGGCCUGGCGGCGGCUGAGGAGGUGCUACGCGCCGCAACCUCCGCCUCGACGCGCCGCCAGAUCUCCACCUCAACGCGCUGCUGGUCCUCUGCAUCCUCCGCCUCAAACUUCAGUUUUUGUGGUAUGGAUCCCUUCCCCUCUCCACCAAAUCUUGCUCUGUGCCUUGCCCGCCGCCUCUCAAGCAACACGUACCAUUGUCCUGCUUGACGUGUUGUGCUCACAUGCUCCUCUGUCGCACGGCGCCGUCCCCGUUGCCUCUCCGGCCCAAUCGCAGUUGCAAGUGUUCUCCCUCCAGUUCGUCAUGAACCACCAAAGGACGCACGGGAGCAGCAUCUGGCAUUCAGAGCCUCACAGGUUUGAUGCUUGCACACAAGCGAUGGAUCAAAGGAGCCUGCAAACUAUGUAACUGAAUGUUGUUUCUUUCCACCAAAUCAUCUAUUAUUAAUUUCCUCAUUUCAUCUUCUGAUAAAUGAUCCUUUGAUGUCGAUUGCAGAGAGAAACAUGUUUACAGUAUUUUAGAUUUCGGUCAUUAGAGGGAAUUUGGAUUCUUUUUCUAUCACCACACAAAGAAAUGUAUGUCAUUGCUAAUUGAAAAGGUGUAGGAAAAUAGAGUUUUCUUUUAUCUGUACUACAUUAUCAGCCUACGGGGGCAGUCAUGGAGAAGCCAAGUUUAACCGAUAUUUCAAAAUAUUGUAGCCUCCGUAAAAUUAAAAAAAGGUGCUUC
rnacentral:lncRNA from 1 species